rnacentral:rRNA from 1 species
AUGGGUAAAGACAUUGUUGAUUUCGCUCUUCCAAGCAUAGAUGAUGCGUUUGACCCAACAAAGGGCGAGGCAAGAGAGGUUAUCGAGGAAUCAACCGUUGAGUUUGACAUGGAUGACACAAAAUUGGCAUCUUCACUGAACAUGGAGCAGAGGGCCGCAUACGAUGAGAUACUAGGGGCUGUUGAACGCGGUGAUGGGGGUGUAUUCUUUGUUGAUGGCCCUGGAGGUACAGGGAAGAGCUUCCUAUAUAGGGCGAUGCUUGCCAAGGUGAGGAGCCAGGGCAAGAUUGGUAUCGCUACCGCGACGUCCGGCAUCGCCGCUUCUAUCAUGCCUGGCGGCAGGACUGCCCACUCAAGAUUCAAGAUCCCAUUGAGUUGCGAUGAUGGAGCCUCGUGCAGCUUCACCAAGCAGAGUGGGACCGCCAAGCUACUACGGAUGGCCUCAUUGAUACUAUGGGACGAGGCCAGCAUGACUAAGCGACAAGCGGUUGAGGCAUUGGACAAUAGCAUGCGCGACAUCAUGGGAAUACACGACCGACCCUUUGGAGGAAAGACUGUUGUUUUUGGCGGGGACUUUAGGCAGGUUCUUCCGGUCGUCAGAAGGGGGUCGCGGGGCCAGAUAAUUGAUGCAACCCUCCGCAGUUCUCAUCUAUGGAAGGGUAUGCGACAGCUUUGGCUCAUCACCAACAUGAGGGCUCAUAAUGACACGUGGUUUGUCGAUUACUUGCUAAGGGUCGGCAAUGGCACUGAGGAUGUCAACGAUCAAGGCAACAUAGUACUCCCUGAAGAUAUUUGUCUGCCGUCUACAGGCGAGGUUGAUGACCUGGAGAAGCUUAUUGACCAUGUAUUUCCGAGUCUAGACGACAACAUGGCUGAUUCGAAUUACAUGACAUCUCGAGCUAUCCUUUCCACAACAAACGACAAUGUAGACAAGAUAAACAUCCGCAUGAUAGAGCGUUUUCAUGGAGAUGAAGUAAUCUACCAUAGCUUUGACAGUGCGGAGGAUGACCCAUAUGGCUACUAUGCUCAGGAGUUUCUGAAUGGAUUGACUCCUAAUGGUCUUCCUCCGCAUGCUCUCAAGCUAAAGCUGAACUGCCGUGUCAUACUUCUAAGGAACAUUGAUCCAGCUAAUGGACUGUGUAAUGGCACUAGGCUUGUUGUUAGAGGUUUUGAGAGGAACACCAUUGAUGCAGAAAUCGUGAUUGGACAACACGCUGGCAGGAGGGUCUUCCUUCCUCGAAUACCUCUCUGCCCAUCUGAAAAUGACAUGUUUCCAUUCAAGUUUAAGAGGAAGCAAUUUCCAAUAAGGCUUAGCUUUGCUAUGACCAUUAACAAGGCUCAAGGGCAGACCAUCCCGAUUGUUGGUGUCUACCUACCCAAUCCCGUGUUCUCACAUGGUCAGCUCUAUGUUGCUUUGCCUCGAGCCACCGCGAAGAGAAACAUAAAGAUACUCAUUCAGAAGGAAAAGCCGAAGGAGAAGGCCAACAAGCAUAAGGACAAUACAAAGAAGCGAAAAAGAAUGACCGUGUCCUUACUGACCUCGAUGAAGAACAUCGUAUACAAGGAAGUCCUUACAGGCUGA